GACACUAUUUGUUGUUAUUAUAAUAAUUUAUUUUCACAAAUUUAUUAUAAUUAUAAAUAUUCUAAAUAGCUCCAAAUUUAUUUUCAAGGAAACAUUUUUACAAAUAUUUUUUCACACAAAUUAUAACAUAAAAAAAUGGUAAUAAAGCUAGAACCAAAUAAAAAUCUAAAACAUGGUCUAAAAGAGUAUGAUUCCAACUCAAAAUAGGAAUGGAAAACAAAUUCUAAUAAGGAUUACCAAUCAUUCUCUACGUCUACACCAAUCAUUCUUAGAUAUAAGAGGAGUAGAAGAAAAUUAGAAGAGAGAAUGGUAUGGAAAGUGGAGAUAUGUUUGACAAAAUGGGAUUCAUGGUGGGGCAUUAAUGAUCAUGAGGAGGUGGUAGAAGUGGUUGAGGGAGUCCAAGACAGUGACUGAACGGAAAACAAACCCCUAUAAGAAGUCAAUUUCAACAUAGGUAGCUCACAAUUAUUUAUGCUAAAAAUUGGAAACUUUCUUUAGGGGUUUAGC
rnacentral:lncRNA from 1 species